AAAUUACUCAAGAAUUAGUCUUUAUUUAUUUGUAAAUUUUUUACAAGUAUACUCAUCUGUUUAUUUAUCAAAACUCUUAGUUAUUACCUUUUAAAAUUUGUACCUUUCUACAGCCAAUGGAUAAAUUGAAUUAUGAAAUUAAACCAAGGGCUUUUUGGGUAAUUCCGUUCAUCAAUUUACACUGCAUUCCUGAGAUAUUUUUUAUUGGGUUACAAAAAUUGUAAAACAUAUUAUGAAGUAAUGGAUG
rnacentral:misc_RNA from 1 species